AGUUGGUUCUGAGCUCUAUUUCUGAUAUUUCUUUUCUGGAAUUGUUACCAAAUUUCAUGGGAGGCCUAAUAGAUAUUGUAAGGUUUUAAAGGUAAAAUUCUUUUGAGUUAUAGUAAGUAGUUGACACUAGGAUAGGUAUAGAACUACUAACCUGGUCCUUGAAGUCUUAUCUGGCAAUUGUUAACCGGAUGGCAAGUGUUUUGUACCUUGGAAUUGAUGAUUAUAGACAAGAUGUUGGUAUAGCAGGUGAUUUUGUAUAAGCCUACUUGAUAAUUGAGUUAACUGCUGCCUGCUAAUAAAGGAAAUUUCUAGGGUUUCUCUUUUUGCAGUAAUUGUUCGUGAUGUAUUUUACAACUUAGAAGUUCAAAGGAAGCAAAUGCAUUCCAAGUUCUUCUAGUUUUCUCAAAAUCAAACAAGUAAAAGAUAUUGCUUUACAUACUUUACUUCUAAACUGUAUUCUGAUCUGAUUGAUCUUUUGGUCUGCAUAUAUAAUCUUGAAGUCCAAGUAGGGUCUUGCAUUCUCCGAAAGAGUCUCUGCUAAGAAUCUCCCUUACGCAUCGCAGUGUCUCCUUCAAAAUUGUUGAUAUUGAAAGUGAGGAUGACCUGCUUUGCACAUGUGCUUCUCCUUUGGCUUGCCGCUGUUGUCUAGUCUUGGUGUUUACGCAGUGAACCUAUGCAGCCCCAAAUUGAUGGAUAAAGAGAUGUGAUAAGUCGUCUUUUCUACACUUUGUUUAUUGACUUUUUGAUUUCUGACCAAGUAUUUUUUAAAAUGAUAUGGUUCUUUGCCUUUUCUCUCUGGUUUCUUGAAAUUCUUAAUAGAUUGCUUUUGCAUACAUUGGGCAUGCUUGUUGAUAAGUUUGUGAAGCCAUUCUGGAGAAUUUUUUCCAUUGAUAUUACCAACGGGCUUAAUUAUAUCUUUUCUCAGAUUUGGCAAUCGGAGCUUUGCAGAUGAGAGGCACCGUCAUAUAUAUGAGGUGGAUCCUGAUAUGGUGCAGCAAUUUGAAAAGAUGCUGGCCUUUCUUUCACUGGCAAAGAUAAAAGUGAUAGUCACAUGGAGGUAUCUGUUGCUAUAGACAUUGGGACCUGAAUUGUUAAGGUGGAUGACAAUGGAUCUGGUGUCUCACGAGAUGGAUAGAUGCUGAGGAGAGAAUGAUAUGAGAAUCUUGAAAUUAGUUGCUACCACAAGCUAUGCUCCUCUAGUGUGGAUGGGGACUCGCAUAAAUGGAUUGACGCUGGAAAUCGAGGUAAAACAGAUGAGCUUGUAAGGAAGAAGAAGAGUAGAAGAAGUCAUUCAGCUCCUCCAUUUUACCAAGACAAGAAGUUCUUUGCCACAAGUGAGUCUUUCAAGAAAGGUAGCAGGAAAUAACAUCUUUUAAACUGUUCAUGAUGUGCUCAUGCCAGAAUCUAGAGUUGUAAGGAGACUGCAUCAUUCUGCAGAAGCUAUCUGCGCGGAGAUUCCACUCAGUCUUCUCAUCAAUGUGCUCAAUCUUCCACCCAUAAUGUGGUAAAGGGUGUGUUCUAUGUUGAAAGGCCAAGGGUUAUAAUGAAAUUUGUUAACAUCUGGAAUAGAAAAUUACAAACUCAAGGGGAUUGCACAAGUACAGGCGAUAGGGACUCAAAAGAAGGAUGGGAUGGGGACUCGCAUAAAUGGAUUCAUGCUGGAAAUCAAGGUAAAACAGAUGAGAUUAUAAUGAUGGAGAAGAGUAGAAGAAGUCAUUUCAGCUCCUCGGGCAAGAAAUUUUUUGCCACAAGCUAGUCUUCAAGAACAGCAGCAGCAAAUAAAAGUAUCAAGACUGUUCGUUAUGUGCCACUCAUGCCAGAAACCAGAGCUGUAAGGAGACUGCAUCAUUCUGCAGAAGCUAUCUGCUUGGAGUUUCCACAGCAGUCAUACCAUCAAUGUGGUCAAUCCUCCACCCCAAGUUGUGGUGACGGUGUAUUCUCUGAUGAAAGGUCAUGUUAUCAACGUUCUUGGAAGAGUUAGUUCUAUUUCUGAUAUUAUCUCAAUCAGAUAUUUUAGUAACUCACACGACCUGGUGUUUCUAAUGAAACUAGUUAGCAUUUGGAAUAAUAAAGUACAAGCUUGAGGGGAGUGCACAACUUCACACAAUGGGGAGUCGAAAGAAGAAUUUGAACCACAAAAGCUCGAAGUUUCUUAAUUGUGUGACAGAAUGGAGAGACUUCCGUCCAGAGAUUACAUAUGUGAUGCAGAGCAGAAUUUGAACAGAGAAUCUUAAGAACUGGACUUUUUUACCCUUUUCAGUAUGAGAUACUGUGCUCAAUGUCACUUCUGGCGUCUUGCAUUUUGUUGGUGAUUCAUUGGUUCCUGAUACCAUUGAUAAAAACUGCCAAAGUUCUUCAACAGGUUGAUAAGAAGUUUAUUUCAAUUGUGGCGGGCACCACACUUCCUAUAAUUAAUCAGGGAUACAUUCAAAAAGUGCAAGUACAUGCGAACCAUUUGCAAAUCAGUCUUUGAAAGAGAAAGUGCUAAUAUGCAAGAGGAGUUUCACGGGUACUAUUUCCAGUGCUUUUACAACCAACCAGUUUUAAGGAAACAAAUGCUCUACAGUGAGGAUGACCUGUUUGCCUACGUGCUUCUCUUUCUCUGUUGCCACUAUUGUUCAGUGGGUUAGGGAUUCAUCUGAGUUCCCUUAAAAAUUGAAUGCAAGUGAUAGUUCAUUCAAGCGCUCACGAUGUAUACACGGUGAAGGGUGGAUAGGGACUGACAUAAAUGGAUCGAUGCUGGAAAUUGAGGUAAAACGGAUGAGCUUAUAAGGAAGAAAGAGGGUAGAAGAAUUCAUUCAGUUCCUCCAUUUUACCAAGGUAAGAAUUAAGUUCUUUGCAAUGAGUGAGUCUACAAGAAAGGCAGCAGGAAAUCACAGUAUUAAGACUGUUCAUGAUGUGCCACUCAUGCCUGUUAGUAGACUGCAUCAUUCUGCAGAAGCUAUCUGCUGAGAGCUUCCACAGCAGUCAUCCCAUCAAUGUGAUCAAUCUUCAACCCCAAGUUGUGGUGACGGUUUCUUCUCUGAUGAAAGGCCAAGUGUGAAAAGGGAACUUAUUAACAUCUGGAAUAGCAAAUUGCAAGCUCAAGGGGAGUGCACAUGUACACGCGAUGGGGAGUUAAAAGAAGAAUUUGCACCAACAAAAAUUCAAAGUUCCUUAGAUUUUUGGGAUAAAAUGGAGGGACUUCCAAAGAUUACAAACAGUGCUGGAACUGAGAAUUUUAAUAAUCAGUAUAUUGUACUCAGUGUCACUUCUGGCAUCUUGCAUUUUUUUGGCGAUUCAUUGGUUCCUGAUACCAUUAAUAAAAACUUCCCGGAGGGUGCCAAAGUUCUCCAACAGGUUGACAAGAAGUUUAUUCCGAUUGUGGCAAGCACAGCACUUGAUAUAACUGAUCAGGCAAGAGCAUGUGAUACUACAGUGCCAUUGUCUUCUGCUGGUACCAACACAUUUCUAUUCAACACACAUCAAUAUGAGUUGCCAUUUCCUAUAUAAACAUAUCUAAUGAGGUAUCUACCACCACAACGCUCAGCAAACAUCAAAGCUUUCUCUGCUUUUUGGUAACCUUACAAUCCUUUUUUUUUUCACCUAUACUAAAACUAAGUGAUCAUGGCUAUUCUUCGUAUGAUCAAGAAGUCUUCUGCAACUAGAGAUAUUCCCAAGGGUCAUUUUGCUGUGUAUGUUGGGGAGAUGCAGAAAAAGAGAUUUGUGAUCCCGAUAUCAUUCUUGAGCGAACCUUUAUUUCAAGACUUGCUUAGUCAAUCUGAGGAAGAAUUUGGCUUCGACCAUCCAAUGGGUGGUGUGACUAUUCCCUGCUGUGAGGAUUUGUUCAUCGAUCUCACAUCUCGAUUGCGGAAAUGAGAAGGAAACCAGUCCCCAUAUUUUUUAAUUACACAAUUUUGUAUAGUUGUAGUAAGCCAGGAUAGAGACUGUACAGUUCAGAGUUACAAGAAACACUAGUUAGACUAAGGACACAUUUUUCUACUUCAAAAGAAAUUGAAGUAAUGGAACUUUUUACUUACAUGGUUUCAUUCUAUGCCAUACAUUGAUGUAUACAAUUCAUUGCAAUAGAAACUUUUUGCUCAACUCUCGUCGAUUUUUAGUCAGAAUCUAGUCUUCUAAAGUGCCACAACUCAUUCCGUUGGUAAGAAUUAUACUUUGUGGUCAAAAUGAAGUUAAAACACACAUGGUAGUGUCCAUCAUACAAUGAAAUGUAACUCAAGAUAUACUAGAUCUGCCAUUCUGCAGCAAUGUGAAAGUACUGAGUUAAACUCAGUCCAAUAGAACUGGAUGUAAAUUGAUUAAUUCUUAAUAAUAUGUACUCCAUGUUUAUACUUUUUUUUUGAGAAGGUAACGACUUGUAUUCUAUUUCCACAAAAACAGAAACCUGCCACGACAAGUUACAGGUUUCCUAAUUACAGUUGAGGAGGGGAGUAUCUAGAAGAACUUCAACCCUUUUAACAAAAAAUUACAAUAAUGCUAAGACAUCUUUAGUUGAUUCUAGAUCUUCCCUAUACUCCUGUUUAAUCACUUCAAUUUCAUCGCCAAGCAGCCCACCAAAUUCAAGCUGGUACAAUUUUCCACCUAUCCUUAUGGUCUGACAUGUUAGCAUAACUUCUCCAGAUCUUCAAAGUCUGAUCUAUUUUCCUUGGCAUUACCCAAUUCAGGCCCUUCUUACUUAGGAAUAUUUCCCACAGUUGACGGGUAAUUCUGUAGUGUAUAAAAAGGUGGGUUACAGUCUCAGCCUUCUCUUCCCAAAAAAACACCUUGGACUUAGAUGUAUCCCCCUUUUCAUGAGGUUUUCUUGGGUUAAAACAGCUUGUUUGGCCACAAGACAAGUGAAGCAGGAAACUUUAUAAGGAAUUUUGACUUUCCAUAUAAGCUUCCAAGGCCAGUCCUCAAUCUGAUAAUUAUUAGGGUUAAAUUUUUUAUAGGCCCCUUUCAUACUGAAACUACCUUGACUGUGGCCCUCCCACUCCAAUCUAUCUUGGUCAGUGGAGGUUUCUUUGAAUUGCUCCAAUUGCUGUAGAACUCAACUAACCUCAAAAUCUCCUAGUCAUUAAAAGGUCUUCUAAAGCUCAAAUUCCAUCCCUGAUUUGACCAGACUUCAUCAACAGUGGCCCUUUGUUGUUGGUUUAGGGUGUAAAUAUCAUUGAAGGUGUCCCUUAGGGGGGCUUGAUCUAACCACUUGUAUUCCUAGAAAAGUACCUUCCUGCCAUCUUCUGUUCUUAUGCUGCAAUUUUCUCUAAGCUUUGGCCACAGGUUUCUGAUGGAUCUCCAAAGGUUGAUCCCAUAAGUAUCGGUGACCAUUCUGGUGGUCCAAUGAUCUGCCAUUUCAUACUUCAGCUGGAUAACUUAUUUCCAGAGAGCUGACUCCCUAGAAGCAAAUAUCCAGAGCCAUUUCAUCAUAAGACAUUGGUUCUGAGUUUUUAAGUUCCUUACCCCCAUACCCCUUUUUGUUUACUUCCAAUCAGUGCAUCCCAUUUCACCAAGUGGAACUUCUUGGUUUCACUGAAUUUCUUCUUAGAACAUCCAAUCUCUCAAUGACCCCAUCAGGGAUAGGGAAGAGGGACAUCAUAUAGGUAGGCAUAGAGUCCAAAACACUAUUGAUUAGUGCUAGUCUUCCUCCUAAGGAGAGAUAUUGACUUUUCCAGUUUACCAACCUCUUCUUGCACUUCUUUACCACGCCAUUCCAUAUAUCUAUAGACCUGUUCUGAUCACCCAGAGGCAUGCCCAAGUAGACAGUUGGUAGCUUCCCAAUACUUCCACCAAGGACCCCAGCCAAUUAGGUUAGGUUAGGAACCUCAUUAACUGGUUAUAUGAAGCUCUUAUUCCAGUUGAAUGUAAUCGUGGGACUGCUUCAAAAAGAACAAAAAUGACCUUGAGAAUCAUGAGUUGGUCCUUAUUAGCCUCACAAAAGAUCAAUGUAUCAUCAGCGUACUGCAAAGCAAAUGAGUAAUCUCCAAGUUUGAGCCUUCCCUGUGUGCAGCUUUGAAUCCCUUCAACCAGCUAUUUUCUUGAGCAACUCUCAACAUAUCAUUAAGACUUCUCGUGGCAAUGAUGAAAGGGAGAUAAUGGGUCUCCUUGCCUUAGGCCUCUCUGUGAGUAGAAGGCUCACCUGUAGGGGAGCCAUUGAUUGAUAAGGACAGAGAAUUUGACUGUGCUUAUGCAGAACUUCAUCCAUCUUACCCAUCUACCUCCAAAUCCUAUUGAGGUGGUCAUAAGCUUUUGUAUAUCUAGCUUUCAUAGAAUGAUUGUCUUCAUUAGAAACUCUGUGCUCUGUGGUCUGCCCUGCAUCCUCCAGCUGGCCUCCAUGUCUCAGUUUCAGUAUAUAUUCUUUAAUAGAACUCCUCAAUCUCCUUCUUUAUAACAUCUGGUUUUUGGGUUGCUUCCCCAACCACCAUAAAUUCAUCAAUAUUGUUAUAUCUUCUAUGAGCAUUUGCUGAUCUGUGGAAAAACUUGGUCUUGUUGUCACCCUUGUGAGAAAUAUAUGGUGAAAAAAUAUUAUUGAAUUGUGUAUCUAAAUUUUACAUUGAGACCCUAUUUAUAUACACUACAUUAGAGUCCUUUUCUGACUAGGAAUCCUAUUCUUAUUCUUAUUCCUAUUCCUAUUCCUAUUCCUAUUUUAAGUAGGAAAUACUUAUUCUAUUCUAACACUCCCCCUCAAGCUGGUGAAUACAAAUUUGAGAGCUUAAUGCUACGAAAAAAGUACUAAUGGUUGUGUUUGGGAUAUAGAGAUGGGAAGCUAUUUAUGGAGGAAGAUCCCAACUUAUUUAUCUUUGUUUAUGAAGAAACCAAUGUACUUGUAAAAGAUAGCAAACAAGAUUAUGUACUUAGGGAGCCAACUAUUUAACCAAUGGAUUGUUCUUGCAUAUAUAACCCUCUGUUUCUAUUU